GGGUCAGUAGGUUGGUCGUGCCACCGGUACGUACUGGUCUCACUGAUUCCUCCUUCCUGAAGAACCGUAAUGCCAUUAAUUUGGUGUUGCGGGGAAACAGGACUGAUACUUUGAAAAAAUUAGAGUGUUUAAAGCAAGCUAACGCUUGAAUACAUUAGCAUGGAAUAAUGAAAUAGGACGAUCGAUCCUAUUUUGCUGGUUUCUAGGAUUGACGUA
rnacentral:rRNA from 1 species